GGUAGCUCAGCUAGUAGAACAACGCAUUCGCAAUGCGUGAGUCGUGAGUUCGAAUCUCAUCCGUUA
rnacentral:tRNA from 1 species